GACAGCAGCAGCCGCGGGAAUACGUAGGGUGCAAGCGUUAAUCGGAAUUACUGGGCGUAAAGCGUGCGCAGGCGGUUUUGUAAGACAGAGGUGAAAUCCCCGGGCUCAACCUGGGAACUGCCUUUGUGACUGCAAGGCUAGAGUACGGCAGAGGGGGAUGGAAUUCCGCGUGUAGCAGUGAAAUGCGUAGAUAUGCGGAGGAACACCGAUGGCGAAGGCAAUCCCCUGGGCCUGUACUGACGCUCAUGCACGAAAGCGUGGGGAGCAAACAGGAUUAGAUACCCCCGUAGUCCCUGUCUCUUAUAC
rnacentral:rRNA from 1 species